AACGUAGGAGACAAACGUUAUCCGGAGUUACUGGGCGUAAAGGGCGUGUAGGUGGUUACGUAAGUCUGGCGUGAAAUUUUUCGGCUUAACCGGGAAAGGUCGUCGGAUACUGCGGGACUAGAGGACGGUAGAGGCGUGUGGAAUUCCGGGUGUAGUGGUGAAAUGCGUAGAUAUCGUAAGGAAGACCAGUGGCGAAGGCGGGUCUCUGGACAGUUCCUGACGCUGAGGCACGAAGGCCAGGGGAGCAAACGGG
rnacentral:rRNA from 1 species